GACGAACGCUGGCGGCGUGCUUAACACAUGCAAGUCGAGCGAUGAAGCACCUUCGGGUGUGAAUUAGCGGCGAACGGGUGAGGAACACGUGAGAAAUCUGCCUUCAACACUGGGAUAACUCCGGGAAACCGGGGCUAAUACCGGAUAUGAAGCCUGCGGGCAUCCGCGGGUUUGGAAAGUUUUUCAGUUGAAGAUGAUCUCGCGGCCUAUCAGCUUGUUGGUGAGGUAAUGGCUCACCAAGGCGACGACGGGUAGCCGGCCUGAGAGGGCGACCGGCCACACUGGGACUGAGACACGGCCCAGACUCCUACGGGAGGCAGCAGUGGGGAAUAUUGGGCAAUGGAGGAAACUCUGACCCAGCGACGCCGCGUGCGGGAUGAAGGCCUUCGGGUUGUAAACCGCUUUCAGCGGGGAAGAAGCGAAAGUGACGGUACCUGCAGAAGAAGCACCGGCUAACUAUGUGCCAGCAGCCGCAGUAA
rnacentral:rRNA from 1 species